CCUACGGGAGGCAGCAGUGAGGAAUAUUGGUCAAUGGACGAGAGUCUGAACCAGCCAAGUAGCGUGAAGGAUGACUGCCCUAUGGGUUGUAAACUUCUUUUAUAUGGGAAUAAAAUGUUCCACGUGUGGGAUUUUGUAUGUACCAUAUGAAUAAGGAUCGGCUAACUCCGUGCCAGCAGCCGCGGUAAUACGGAGGAUCCGAGCGUUAUCCGGAUUUAUUGGGUUUAAAGGGAGCGUAGGUGGAUUGUUAAGUCAGUUGUGAAAGUUUGCGGCUCAACCGUAAAAUUGCAGUUGAAACUGGCAGUCUUGAGUACAGUAGAGGUGGGCGGAAUUCGUGGUGGAGCGGUGAAAUGCUUAGAUAUCACGAAGAACUCCGAGUGCGAAGGCAGUUCACUGGACUGCAACUGACACUGAGGCUCGAAAGUGUGGGUAUCAAACAGGAUUAGAUACCCGAGUAGUC
rnacentral:rRNA from 1 species